rnacentral:rRNA from 1 species
UAAUAUGACAUUAUCUAUUCUUAUAAUAACUUAAAAUUAAGAAAAUAUAUAAUAAUAUAAUAGUACUGCAAAGGAAAUAUAAAUUUUAAAAGUAGCUAAUAACGUACCUUGUGCAUAAUGGAUUUUCAAGAAAUUAUUAUUACAUAAAUACCCGAAGUCUUAAUGAGCUUAAAAUAUAUUGUUAAGAACUUAUAGAUAAAUGUUUCAAUAUUUACUAAAAAUAUAUUUUAAGAAGCUAUAUACUUACCGCAUAAGAAUAUAUCUGGUUUCUAUAAAACAUUAUAUAUUAAACCAUCUAAUUUAGAAUGUUAAAUAAUAAAAGAUAAGUUUUAUUACUUUACCCAUUUAAUAAAAUAAUACACUCAAAUAGUAAGCUUAAUAUCAGCUAUCUGUAAUUACUUUAUCGUAAACUAAAUAAUUUAAAUAAAUAAUAAAAUUUAAUGGACAUACAUAUAUAGAUAUAAAUUACAAUUAUAAAUAUUUUUUAAAUAUGAAAAUAUUAGUAUUUCAUAAACUAUAAAAAAGGAAUUAGGCAAAUUCAUUUUUCGACUGUUUAACAAAAACAUUUCUUUUAGUACUUAUUAAAAGUAGGCCCUGCCCAAUGAAUACUUGAAUGGCCGCGGUAUCCUGACCGUGCAAAGGUAGCAUAAUCAUUUGUUUAUUAAUUGUAAACUAGAAUGAAAGGGUUAACGAAAAUAUAACUGUCUCUUUUAUUAUAACAAAAAUUAUUUUCUAAGUGAAGAAACUUAAAUAAAAUUAAAAGACAAGAAGACCCUAUAGAGCUUUAUAUUAACAAUAAAAACUUUAUUCUAAUAUUUGGUUGGGGCGACCUAGGAAUAUUAAACAUCCUAAUUUAAUUUAGAUAUAUUUAUCUUUUAUAGAUCCUAUUUCGAUCAAUAAAUUAAGUUACCUUAGGGAUAACAGGCUAAUAUUUUUUGAGAGUUCUUAUCAACAAAAAUGUUUGGCACCUCGAUGUUGGCUUAGGGUCCCAUAUUGAUGCAGAAGUUAUAUAUGGAGGUUUGUUCAACCUAUAAAUCCCUACAUGAGCUGAGUUCAGACCGGCGUAAGCCAGGUUAGAUUCUAUCUUUAAUUAAAAUAAUUAUUUAUAGUACGAAAGGACCUAAAUAAUACUAAAUUAGUAUUAAAUUUUAUAUUUUAUACACUAUA